rnacentral:tRNA from 1 species
GGAGUGGUAGUUCAGUUGGUUAGAAUACCGGCCUGUCACGCCGGAGGUCGCGGGUUCGAGUCCCGUCCACUCCGCCA